CCUACGGGAGGCAGCAGUGGGGAAUCUUGCACAAUGGGGGAAACCCUGAUGCAGCGAUGCCGCGUGAGUGAAGAAGGCCCUUGGGUUGUAAAACUCUUUCGUCGGGGAAGAAAAUGACUGUACCCGAAUAAGAAGGUCCGGCUAACUUCGUGCCAGCAACCGCGGUAAUAC
rnacentral:rRNA from 1 species